rnacentral:rRNA from 1 species
UGCAUCACCAUGAUCUUGCGUGUGCGUAGGAAUUUUUUGGAAAUUACUGCGUUCCCCAACACUUAUCUUGGCAUACCCUUGACGACACGCCGCCCGUCCGCCGGUCAGCUACAGCCCUUGGUCGACAGGGUCGCCAGGCGCUUGCCCACCUGGAAAGCAUGGCUGAUGAACAAAGCCGGCAGGCUUGCCCUCGUCAAGUCCAUUCUCUGCGCGAUCCCAGUGCACCAGUUGCUUGCUUUUGCCCCCACGAAGAAAACUCUGCGGCAGCUCGAGAAGAUUCAACGGGGAUUCUUAUGGGCUGGGCGAGCCGUCGCCAAUGGCGGUCACUGCCAUGUGAACUGGCGCCUUGUCUCCCGCCCCCUCGAACUUGGAGGUCUCGGGGUUCGUGACCUCGAGCGCACCGGGCUUGCGCUCAGACUGCGGUGGCUAUGGCUCUCGCGAACAGACGAGGGACGCACUUGGCAGGGGCUGGAUCUCCAAUUCUCCUGCCACGAG